CUCAGCUGCAUCGCGAGAAUCAGCAGAACAGCCAACUGGGGCAUUAUCAAAAAAAAGAAGAAAAAAAAGAAAAGAAAAAGAAAGAGGAGGGUGCAAAAUCAAAAAAGAAGAAAUCAAUCAAAAUCAAAAGAAAUCAAAAGAAAGAAAAAGAAAAAAAACAAAAGAAAGAUAGCACCCUCAAAGUCCCAAGUUGACUGAUGCUGAAUUCGAUCGAAAAGAAGAGAUCAACUGCCAUGUGUCAUGGUCAGUCAUA
rnacentral:lncRNA from 1 species